GCCUAGUUAGCUUAGUUGGUAGUGCGUCUGCCUUGUAAGCGCUAGGCCGCGGGUUUGAUUCCCGUCCGGGGCG
rnacentral:tRNA from 1 species